rnacentral:rRNA from 1 species
CCUGACUGCUAUCGGAUUGAUACUAAGCCAUGCGAGUCAUUGUAGCAAUACAAGGCAGACGGCUCAGUAACGCGUAGUCAAUCUACCCUAUGGACGGGAAUAACCUCGGGAAACUGAGAAUAAUGCCCGAUAGAACAUUAUGCCUGGAAUGGUUUAUGUUUCAAAUGAUUUAUCGCCAUAGGAUGGGACUGCGGCCUAUCAGUUUGUUGGUGAGGUAAUGGCCCACCAAGACUAUUACAGGUACGGGCUCUGAGAGGAGUAGCCCGGAGAUGGGUACUGAGACACGGACCCAGGCCCUAUGGGGCGCAGCAGGCGAGAAAACUUUGCAAUGUGCGAAAGCACGACAAGGUUAAUCCGAGUGGUUUCUGCUAAAGAAACCUUUUGUCAGUCCUAGAAACACUAACGAAUAAGGGGUGGGCAAGUUCUGGUGUCAGCCGCCGCGGUAAAACCAGCACCUCAAGUGGUCAGGAUGAUUAUUGGGCCUAAAGCAUCCGUAGCUCGUUUUGUAAGUUUUCGGUUAAAUCCAUGCGCUUAACGUAUGGGCUGCCGGGAAUACUGCAUAACUAGGAAGUGGGAGAGGUAGACGGUACUCGGGAGGAAGGGGUAAAAUCCUUUGAUCUCUUGAUGACCACCUGUGGCGAAGGCGGUCUACCAGAACACGUUCGACGGUGAGGGAUGAAAGCUGGGGGAGCAAACCGGAUUAGAUACCCGGGUAGUCCCAGCUGUAAACUAUGCAAACUCAGUGAUGCAUUGGCUUAUGGCCAAUGCAGUGCUGCAGGGAAGCCGUUAAGUUUGCCGCCUGGGAAGUACGUACGCAAGUAUGAAACUUAAAGGAAUUGGCGGGGGAGCACCACAAGGGGUGAAGCCUGC